rnacentral:rRNA from 1 species
AACGAACGCUGGCGGCAUGCCUAACACAUGCAAGUCGAACGAGACCUUCGGGUCUAGUGGCGCACGGGUGCGUAACGCGUGGGAACCUGCCCUUAGGUUCGGAAUAACUCCCCGAAAGGGGUGCUAAUACCGGAUAAUGUCUUCGGACCAAAGAUUUAUCGCCUUUGGAUGGGCCCGCGUUGGAUUAGCUAGUUGGUAGGGUAAAAGCCUACCAAGGCGACGAUCCAUAGCUGGUCUGAGAGGAUGAUCAGCCACACUGGGACUGAGACACGGCCCAGACUCCUACGGGAAGCAGCAGUGGGGAAUAUUGGACAAUGGGCGAAAGCCUGAUCCAGCAGUGCCGCGUGAGUGAUGAAGGCCUUAGGGUUGUAAAGCUCUUUUACCCGGGAUGAUAAUGACAGUACCGGGAGAAUAAGCUCCGGCUAACUCCGUG